GACAGGUGCUGCAUGGCUGUCGUCAGCUCGUGUCGUGAGAUGUUGGGUUAGUCCCGCAACGAGCGCAACCCUUAUCCCCAGUUGCCAUCAGGUAAAGCUGGGAACUCUGGGGAGACUGCCGGUGAUAAACCGGAGGAAGGCGGGGAUGACGUCAAGUCCUCAUGGCCCUUACAUCCCGGGCUACACACGUGCUACAAUGGCAGGUACAGAGGGCUGCGAAGCCGCGAGGUGGAGCGAAUCCCAGAAAACCUGUCUCAGUCCGGAUUGAAGUCUGCAACUCGACUUCAUGAAGGCGGAAUCGCUAGUAACCGCGAAUCAGCAGGUCGCGGUGAAUACGUUCCCGGGCCUU
rnacentral:rRNA from 1 species